CACAGAGUUGUAAAGUCUAGUUACAGCAGGUGUUUACUGCCAUCUAGUGGAAGAUACCAAUAUAACACUUUAUUAUCAGGGUGGGGAGGCGGCUGAGCUGAAACAGAAAGUAAAGUUGUUCUUUUGUUCAGGAUCCAUUUUGAGACGACAGAGCAGAAAACACUAUAUGGAGAUUAUUGAAAAAUAAAAUAAAGGGUCCGGUUAGCCCUGACCAUUAUCCGUUUCCAAUUCACCAACUCAAAGACGCCCGCUCCAUCAUAACUCCGGGAAAGAGGAGCUGCUUCCCCCAGAGAGAGAGGAGCUGCUAUCCAUGGGGAGAGAGGAGCUGCUACCCCUGGUGGGAGAGGAACUGCUACUCCUGGUUAGAGAGGAGCUGCUACCCCUGGGGUGAGAGGAGCUGGGAGGAGCUGCUACCCCUGGGGAGAGAGGAGCUGCUACUCCUGGUGAGAGAGAGGAGCUGCUACCCCUGGGGAGAGAGGAGCUGCAACCAGGAGAGACUGCGACCCUGCUCGGGAAGAGCUUAACGAUUGGUGUUUGCUGGGGCACAUUUGGCAGGACCUUCAGUGAUGAAGACUGCUGAACAUAUGUUUCACAAUAUGCCAUGGCCGUCUCAGUCACCAGGUCUCAACACAAUUGAACACAACCAUCAACAAAACACCAAAUGAUGGAAUUUCUUGUGGAAUAAUGAUGUCACAUCCCUCCAAUAGAGUUCCAGACAGUUGUAGAAUGUAUUCCAAGGCACAUUGUAAGAGCUGUAAAAAGAGAGGGAGGGAGAGAGAACAGGCAGAACCUGAUAUGUAAAUGAGCAGAGCAAACAAAAGCAACUUUCGACGACCGAAUGAUCAUUCAGACUCUGUUUCUAUUGAGAGAUAAAAGGUAAGACAACGAUUGUUAUGUGUAUUCAUAUAGUUGAUGAUAUUGUUAUGUGUAUUCAUAUAGUUGAUGAUAUUGUUGUGUGUAU